AUAACUGAUGUGGUACUCUGUACAUGUGUGUUUAUAUAUAUAUAUAUAUAUAAACACACAUGUACAGAGUACCACAUCAGUUAU
rnacentral:pre_miRNA from 1 species